UUUCAAUGACAAGCAGGGGCAGAUGGAAAUUUAUCCUCUGGGAUUCGUCAGGAGAAACACGGGUGUCCGGGACGUCAGACCUGCAGGAGACGUCUCUGUUGAUGACAAAACAGUAUUCCCUUACCUGCAGCAGGGAAGGAUGGUUUUCGCUUGAUCAGGAUGCAGACAAAAGUCCCCCCACAAUUCAUUUUAGUGUCGCGACAGCCUAUUCGCAAAAGUUUAAAAAACUAGCCAGAAAUACGUUUCCUUCGCUUUGAAUGAUCUCCAAAAUAAAUUUGGAGAAAAAAAAUCGGACGAGUGCACUAGGUGGCGCUUUGUGACUAGUAGCGAUACACACCGACACCAUGUUCAGGAAAGUGGUGAUUCUUUCAGCCGGCACGAAAUAAUGCAUUCUGACAUGCAUGCACGUCUGUCUCCUCCAUUUCCAGUGUCCUGACGGUGUCCGCUCAGCAUCCUUGUUGCUGUCUGUCUUUGCUUGAGGCCGUGCGCUGAAUAUCUGAAGGGACGAAACAGAACAACAUGUCGUGGGCUGGGCCCGGACGAAGCUGGGACUGGAGACCUCUAAGUAGGUCCAAAGCGCUGUUUUAAGUGGUCAUUGCCGGACCUGUAUGCCGGUCUUGACCAGAAUUUUCCAACCACUGCCCCAGAAGGAGCCGACUAGUUGGUCGCUGAAGAUUUUAAUGGCGCUUGUCGAGAGAUGAGGGGUGUUUGUGGCCGAAAAAGCUUUUGCAUAAUCUGGCCUCCCUAAAAGUUCUUAUUUCGACUGAAUUGGGAAAUAAUUUCUCCUCUCCCCAUUCCAGCUGGUGUGCAGUGGGGCUCCGGGAGCAUAAUGGUCACGCCUCGCAUCAAGCGGGUGCUGCUUUUCGCCGUUGGAUGAAAUGAGUCCCACCCCGCCGUAGACAAAGCGCUUUUCCAGCGUUUACAAAUGCAGAGAAAUGGAAAAUAAACCAUAGUCGCCGGGUGAUGUGUGGGAGGGGACUGUAUUGACCUGGACGGGUCUGAACUUCAAACGCGGAGGACGGGUAGCUGUUUUAUUAAUAGGACGGCGUCCUUUGAGCGGAACAGCUAUGCGCACAAGCUUUCCUUAGCCCUACCCGAGCAGCUCAGGACUCGUCGCUGCCGUCUCUCCUUUACCUGCAGAUGGGGCGGAGCUCUAAAAUCUCAAUAUCACACCCCUGAAACUGCAAGCCGAGUGGCAGGUGGUGUGCGGUUCGGGGAGGGGGAGAGCGGAGUCUUGCAUUUCGUUUCGGAAGACGAGGAUGCAUUUUAAUAUACCCGUAACAGAAGAAAAAACUGACAAAUUUGGUGGACGUUAUGUGGUGUACAAUAUUUACCUGGAGGGUCUACUUUUGUGUAAAGUAAGAUACAGCGACAUGCACAAAUGGAACGAAGAGUUAAGAAGAGUUUUCAAGGACUGCGUCCCCGGCUUCCCACCCAAAUAUUUCCUGGCCAUGACGGAGAAGAUGCAAGACCAGAGAAGACACCUCCUGGAGCAGUACCUCCAGAAAGUGGCUGAAAUCUCCAGCAUUGCGACGUCUGGCAUUUUUUGCUCGUUCUUCAGAAAAAUGCAACAGGGGACCUUCAGGAUCCCUGAGCGCAGUGUUGUGCAGGAUGUCAUUCUUCCAGACGGAAGGAAAAUCGGAGUGGAAAUCCGGAUUUCAGACACAGCCCACACUCUGAUGGAGAUCGUGUCAGACAAGAUGGGACUGCCCAGAGAUCUGAUGGGGUAUUUCGGUCUGUUCCUCGUCCAAGUGAAAGGCAAUGAAACACUGUCUGUCGUGAAGAAGCUGGUGCCCUUCGAGCUGCCUCGUCUCACUCUGGAGAGCCUGGAGGGCGGCCCGAGCGCCAUCAUGCUCCGGAAGAGCUACCUGGACACGUCCGUGGACGCGGAGGUCCUGCAGAGCAGCUGUGGCCUGAGUCUCCUUUGUGCGCAGGCUGCUGCUGACCUGGAGAGGGGGUGGAGUCGGCCCACGGAGGAGCAGCGCAGGACACUGGGGGCUCUGCUGGAGGCGGGCCGGAAGAGAGAGUUCCUGCAGGCUGCCCAGCGCCUCAGGUUCUACGGCCACAUCCAGUUAGACCCCUGCACCUGCGACCACCCUGAGCCCAGCUGCCCUGCCGCCGUGUGGGUGGGGCAUCCAGGCCUGCACUGUUGCAUCACGUUGCCUGGCAACCAGACAAGAGAAGAGCACUUCGAGAUCAAUCGGAUGAAGUCCUGGUGUGUCAGCAUGUUGUCAAGAUCGAGUCAAGAUGACGCCGUGGGGCUGAGCCUGAGCUUCGAGUACACCUUUGAUGACGUGUGGAAAAGCAUUACUCUUCACACUAAACAGGUUCCUCUUGAGCUGUGGCUUCUGAAGAGGCCCGCUGGGUUCGUGCCUUUGGCUUGGGGGCGUUUGAGUAACUGUGGAGCUUGCAGCCUGUGAGCUUUCAAGUGGUCAGUUCAGUUGGUCCUGGACCUGUUUCCAUGGUCCAGGUCUUCAGUUCAGACAAGGGUCAAAGAAUGGAGCAAAGGUGAAAGGGGUUAAAAAUAAGAAUUGGGGAUUAGAAUUUGAAUAAAUAAUAGUCAUAUUAUUAUAAGUUAUUGUCUAAUAAUAUUUGACAAUUUUGUCAAACGGGAUUGUCCAUAAUACUUGUACUUUUUUGACACGGUAGUUCUGCACUGCUUUUUCCUAGUUUGAAUGUUUUUGUAAUCCUCUAAUGUGACAUAAUGCAGUACUGUUCUGUUUAGUGUACUAAUACUUUAUCUCAAAACUCCAGGCAAAUGCGUAUCUUACCAGAAAGUACUUCGCUUGACUUACUGGUUGGAAAGCAGUUGGAUUAAUUGGCAUGAAUCUGUGUCAUUGAUGGAGAUCUGGUUUGUUUUCACCGACGUGACAAAUGGAGAGUGGUGUCUGGAGUAUUAGCUCUUACUGGGUUGUGAAAAGUAGUCUGAAAAUGCUGUCUGCAAUCUGUCAUUCCCGAAUGUUUUCUUUCAGUCCUUUAGCAAAUUUAGACACUAAUAGUUAGGUGACCAUUGACAGUAAGGAUAUAUAGCUGAAAUGGGAAAGUGCUGGUCACAGCCACGCACGUUAAAAAAAAAUUAAAUCUUUAGAAUGAAAGCAAAUCUGCAAGAAACUGUAGACCUUCAGUGUCGUGGUAUGCUAUGCCAUGGUUUAUGAAGACACUCUUGGCUUUUUAUUUUUUUUUAGGCCUUCCUGCUAAGCAGGUUAAUGCUGCUGGUUUUGAAAGAACAGCAAGCGAAGGUCGCUGAAGACCUCACUGACGUGACGGACCCUCCGAAUGUGCGGA